rnacentral:rRNA from 1 species
UGAGUAACGCGUGGAAACCUGCCUCAUACAGGGGAUAACAGGAAGAAAUUCCUGCUAAUACCGCAUGAGCGCACACUGUCGCAUGGCAGAGUGUGAAAAGAUUUUUUCGGUAUGAGAUGGUUCCGCGUCUGAUUAGCCAGUUGGCGGGGUAACGGCCCACCAAAGCGACGAUCAGUAGCCGGCCUGAGAGGGCGGACGGCCACAUUGGGACUGAGACACGGCCCAGACUCCUACGGGAGGCAGCAGUGGGGGAUAUUGCACAAUGGAGGCAACUCUGAAUGCAGCGACGCCGCGUGGGUGAAGAAGUUAUUCGUAAUGUAAAGCCCUAUCAGCAGGGAAGAUAAUGACGGUACCUGACUAAGAAGCCCCGGCUAACUACGUGCCAGCCGCUGC